GUACUUGCUUAGGCAGCACAUAUGUUACAAUUGGAACAUUGCAGAGAACGCUCGCAUGGCCCUGAGCAAGGAUGACCCGCAAGUUGUGAAACAUCCCAUGUUUAA
ensembl:snRNA U6 U6 spliceosomal RNA